GCACGUUCCGGAUCUUUUCCAAUCCGGCAGCUAACAGUAAGGCGGUGGGCGGCUGGUGAUUAUGGGCAUAACAUUGGCAAUGCUCUUUUCUCAAGCUCCGUGCGGACUGUUUUUCCGCUACCGUGCAUUUUAUCUCCGUGCGCACAAGGGCGCAAUUAUGGCAUUAUUCUUGCACGUCCUUUUCAGUGGCGGUAUUCUCAAUACUC
rnacentral:ncRNA from 1 species